GCUGGCGGCGUGCUUAACACAUGCAAGUCGAACGAGAAAGUCUCUUCGGAGACGAGUAAAGUGGCGAACGGGUGAGUAACACGUAAGAAUCUACCCUUUAGUGAAGAAUACCCUCGAGAAAUCGAGGCUAAUGCUGCAUAAUCCCCUUCGGGGGCAAAGACGGCCUCUUGCUGUCGCUAAGGGAUGAGCUUGCGCGCUAUUAGUUUGUUGGUAAGGUAAAGGCUUACCAAGGCGAUGAUGGCUAACCGGCCUGAGAGGGUGUUCGGUCACACUGGGACUGAGAUACGGCCCAGACUCCUACGGGAGGCAGCAGUGGGGAAUAUUGCGCAAUGGGCGAAAGCCUGACGCAGCGACGCCGCGUGGAGGAUGAAGGUUUUCGGAUUGUAAACUCCUGUUAAGUGGGAAGAAAGACCUGUAAAUAAUAAGUGCAGGGGAUGACGGUACCACUAGAGAAAGCUCCGGCUAACUUCGUGCCAGCAGCCGCGGUAAGACGAGGGGAGCAAGCGUUAUUCGGAAUUACUGGGCGUAAAGAGCGUGUAGGCGGUCAAUUAAGUUAGUUGUUAAAUUCCUUGGCUUAACCGAGGAUCA
rnacentral:rRNA from 1 species